rnacentral:rRNA from 1 species
CGAGGACGAACGCUGGCGGCGUGCCUAACACAUGCAAGUCGAACGGACUGAUUCGCUCGGUGAUGAAAGUCAGUGGCGGACGGGUGAGUAACGCGUGAGUAACCUGCCUUACAGAGGGGGGAUAACGUUGGAAACGAACGCUAAUACCGCAUAACACAUCGUUGUCGCAUGGCAGUGAUGUCAAAGGAGUAACAUCCGCUGUAAGAUGGACUCGCGUCCGAUUAGAUAGUUGGCGGGGUAACGGCCCACCAAGUCGACGAUCGGUAGCCGGACUGAGAGGUUGAACGGCCACAUUGGGACUGAGACACGGCCCAGACUCCUACGGGAGGCAGCAGUGAGGGAUAUUGCACAAUGGGCGCAAGCCUGAUGCAGCAACGCCCGCGUGAGGGAUGACGGUUUUCGGAUUGUAAACCUCUGUUCUCAGUGAUGAUAAUGACAUUAGCUGAGGAGAAAGCCACGGCUAACUACGUGCCAGCCGCAGC